rnacentral:rRNA from 1 species
GACGAACGCUGGCGGCGUGCCUAAUACAUGCAAGUCGAGCGAGCGGAACUAACAGAUUUACUUCGGUAAUGACGUUAGGAAAGCGAGCGGCGGAUGGGUGAGUAACACGUGGGGAACCUGCCCCAUAGUCUGGGAUACCACUUGGAAACAGGUGCUAAUACCGGAUAAGAAAGCAGAUCGCAUGAUCAGCUUUUAAAAGGCGGCGUAAGCUGUCGCUAUGGGAUGGCCCCGCGGUGCAUUAGCUAGUUGGUAAGGUAAAGGCUUACCAAGGCGAUGAUGCAUAGCCGAGUUGAGAGACUGAUCGGCCACAUUGGGACUGAGACACGGCCCAAACUCCUACGGGAGGCAGCAGUAGGGAAUCUUCCACAAUGGACGCAAGUCUGAUGGAGCAACGCCGCGUGAGUGAAGAAGGUUUUCGGAUCGUAAAGCUCUGUUGUUGGGAAGAAGGAUAGAGGUAGUAACUGGCCUUUAUUUGACGGUAAUCAACCAGAAAGUCACGGCUAACUACGUG